GAUGCCAACUAGCUAGCCCAUAGAAACAAAUUCAACACAACACCAUUAAUACCCCUAAAUACCCUAAUGUGCAGUUAAAUAAAUCAUUUUUCCCCCUUAGUAUGGGAGACAGAAAAGGGACUCGGAGCAAUAGAGAGAGUACCGCAAGGGAAAGCUGAAAAAGAAAUGAAACAACCCAGUAAAGCCCCGAAAAGCAGAGAUAAAACCUCGUCCCUUUUGCAUCAUGAUCUAGCUAGUGAAACUCAAGCAAAGCGUUCUUUAGUUUGAAAACCCGAAGCUAAGGGAGCUACUCCAAGACAGCCUAUUAAUAGGGCAAACCCGUCUCUGUUGCAAAAGAGUGGGAAGAGCUUUGAGUAGAGGCAACAUACCUACCGAACUUAGUUAUAGCUGGUUACCCAUGAAAUGGAUAAAAGUUCAGCCUUACGGAUUCUCCUUUCAUUUAUAGGGGCAGACCCCCUACCACCCCUGAUAGCCUUAAGAAGCCAUAAGAGUUAGUCAUAGGGGGCCCAGCCCCUUUGAGACAAGAUACAACUUUUUCAGAAGGAUAAAGAUCACA
rnacentral:rRNA from 1 species